rnacentral:tRNA from 1 species
GGUUGAAUAGUGUAGUUGGUUAUCACAUCGGAUUUUGAUUAGUGCUUAGAGAGGGUGCUUACAAAACUUCCGGUGACCUGGGUUCGAAUCCCGGUUCGACCU